rnacentral:lncRNA from 1 species
AGCUUUCGGAAACUGCUGCUGAGUCACCAUCAGUAAUUUGUUUGCAGAAUGGGAUUUGGCGCACUUUCUGUUUGCUUCCACUUGAGAGAUAUUGGCAGAUAGCCUUGCAGUGAGGGAUAGCAACCAUUGUUGAGAAGUGUCAUCUGAUCGGUUGCGUGGCGCAUUAGAACAGGACGAGGCUUUUAAGACCGUGCUCGCUCACAGAAAGAAUAGAGAAAGAUGAUGGAUUACAAGCUCGAGAAAGGUGUGCACAUGUGAUGGACGCGACAAGUUGCAGCUUCUGUGAUUCUAAAAUAAAAUUUACUGACCCUUCUUGCAUAUGCAGUGCGAGCUCUGGAUUUCUUGAAGGAGUUCAUAGAUGCAGACACUGGCGAACAGAAAUAUAUGAACCAA